UGAAGAAACUUCAACGCGAGAACUGUGUGCUAAAAAAAUACUAGAACCUGAGACUUUUCCGAUACCACUUAAUGCAAUCCUAGAUUUAAAACCUGUUUUCGGGAGCAUAAGUUUGGAGAAACUUUUCGAAAUUGCUUCAAACUCCCAAAAAUUUAAGCAAGCAAACUUUCUACAUAAAUGACGGACCAACAAUGACAACCAGCCACUGUAAUAUGCAAAGAUGGUGGUAAUAGAACCAUUUCCAUAAACUCAAUUAAAUCACCUGAAAAUUAAAAUCCAAUAAUUAACCACAUGCAGUAAGAAUAACCUCCAACCUAUGUGACAUCAAGCAAAAGGAAACUACUGUAAUUGGAUUGAACACGACAAUAUUUGUCCAUGAACUUUGGUUAAUACAGACAAGGGGAUGGUUGGUCUCACAGAAAACUAUCUGAGGCCUCUGACUCCCCGCCGCAACAACUAGAGGAUGAAACAAGUAAUCAGCGCAAAAGAAAGAUCACGGGGUAGUACGCAAGCUAAGAAAGAGUAUUCGACUAUCCGUAGUAGAGAAGAACCAGAGGAGAAUUAAGGGAAUAAAGAGGUAAAGAGUCAUUCAUGAGUAGCAGAGACGUUAGAAAGAGAAAAGAAGCCAUAGGAGGCUCAGUCCUCCAAAGUCUAGAAUCUUUUUUUUUUCUGCCAAACACUAGGGUAAGGUUUUAAGGAGCAAUGUAAGAGUCUAACCCUAAUUCCCGUACUUAGGUUGUCACCAAUCUAAGUAUGCAUAGACAAGUCACUUAAGUGGUCAUGUGACCAGCAUGUGACCAUUAAUUGGAUGUGACAUCCCCACAUCUUAGGUUAUAAAUAAAAUGCUAAGUAAAUCUCAACAGUAAGUAAUUAUAAAAGAAAUGAAACCAAAUAACGGAAAUUAAAAACCCUAAGCUACCUCACUAGCUUCAAUUUUUCAAUUGGAGUUCAAAUUGAUGAACUGGCAUUAGUUUUCCGAACACGCCCCCCUCCCCCCGCCUCAAUUUUGGGUGGCAGAUUCACAUAAAUCCAAUCCAGCUAUUACGGCGAAUCAUAGAUUUAAAUUCAAGUAUAAUUAACUUUAACAAACCCCUUAAUAUUUAUUGAAUUAUUUAUAAAUUGGAACCAUUUUAUUUUACAAAAUAACAAAUUGAACCCCCCCGUCGUACCAUAAAAGUACCCCUUUGUACCGAUGGCGUACCAGAGAUUACUCAUAAUCAAAUUUAAUAUCAAAGUUACUCGGUCCUUUUUGUCGUACGCCGGUAUAUUUUACCAUACGCGGGAACCCCAUCCCGUAGGGCGACUUGUUUUUGAUGUAUCGUGUUUCUACUAGCGAGUAGUAAAUAGUAAAUCACAUCACAUAGGCCUAAAAAUGAUUCUCCAAGUCCUGUCUUGAAAGUCAAAAAAUAAGCAAAUCAAGUGGGGAAAUCCCAGAGAAUAAAAUGGUAUAAUCUCAUCAAAACAACCUAUUGACAAUACCCCCUAAGGACUUAUUAAUUCUACACAUAUCCACAAUCAAAUUCAGAGACCCAUUUUGAAAUAAAUAUUCAUAAAUUCACAACACAGUCACUAAAACAAAUUGAGUCCCCACACAUGUUAAAGUGGUGGGGGACACUGGAUCAGACCUCCUAUUACCCGUUUUUAUGGCGCAGAUCCAAGAAGGCGUACCCAGUUUCCAUUAUGGCUAGAUAGUGUGACUGCCUCACUGGACCUGAGCAUAGCCCAUUGUCCUCAAUUUAUUUAUUAGUACUCUAGCGGGACUUGUUUUAUUUUGGGUUAUUUGUUUUUGACCUUAAUUUAUUUAGGUUUAGGUUUAUUGGUUUUGGGCCUAUUGUAUUGGGCCCAAUUAUUUUCGUAUUGUUUUAGGGUUUAGGGUUGUCUAUGUAAAUGAGAUUUUGUUAUGAAAAAGAGAACUGAUGAUUUGAAUAAAAGCAAAGACGCUGUUUUUCUUCUCCACCUUCGAUUCUGGCGGAAGCCGAACUUCCCCCUCCUUCUUCCUUGAUUCCUUCCGGCGAAGCCACUUCCCCCUCCCAUUCUAAUCUUCUUGUUACGUUUAUUCCUAUUUUUUUUUGAUAUCGAUUAAUCGUAGAACACCAAUUUUAUUUUGCUGCGUCAAAUUGGGGGUAUCCAGUUCCGAAUCGAUCUCCAUUGUCACCAAAAACCUACAUCUAAUCCUCAUCGCAUAUCAUCCUCCAUCCUCGGCCGACACUCACCCUUCGCCCAGGCCCCAAUAGCAACCAAUCGCACUCUGGAAGACACCGAUGUUUCUUAAUUGAACCCCGAUUGUGGUCGAAUCGAACGUUCGAGUCUCGGGUCCUGAACAAAGUUGGCACAUCGACUUUUCAUAUCACCCCGUGCUCGCUCGCGAGACGAGUCAGAAUCAUCAAACAUUCCCGAUCGACCUCCCGCACCUGCGCCACCUAACUGUCGGCGCGUGUAGAUCUACUCGCGCCACUGCGCCGAGGACUGAGACGACGCGUGGACCCCAGUCGCCCUGCCAGCCCGCCACGCAGCCUCCACGUCAUCCGAGUUCCGCCAUUCGUCAGCACUGCCCGCACGUCAGCAUUUAAGUCAAAAUAUCAUUUUGGUGUAAAAAAUUUCAAAAAUAUCAGUUCAGUGAAAAAAGUUCAGAAAUAAUCUGUUCAGUGAAGAAAAGUUCGAAAUAUCAUUUCAGUGGAAGACAGUUCCGUAAAUAUCAGUUCAAUGGAGGAAAAGUUCAGAAAUGCAGAUCAGUGGGACGAAAUCUCAGUAAUUACAGUUCGGCGAAUCAAGUUUUUCCUAAAAUUGCGAAUUCAAGCCGUGCCCAAUCAGAUAGUUCUGAACAUCUCUUACUUUUGUAGUAUAAUUUGCAAAUUCUAAAUACGGUACUCAAUAUGGUCUUAGAGUGCUUGAUUUCCAUAUUUGUUCCCCCCACACCAAAAAAAAAAAAUUUCCCCUUGAGAUCUUUAAUUGCGCCAUAUCUUAUUGUUAAUUGUGGAGUUUUUGCCAAUACAUGGGAAUGCAAUUAACUUGCUGAAGGUUCACGUUCCUACAUUGACAUAGUACUAUACCCCCCCGCACACAAUUUAGUGGGAAACGGAUGCAUGCUUGUUUUCCUUUGUACUACUAGCGUCAGUCAUUCGUGCAGGUCCGCUUUUUUUUAAUUAAAAAAAAACUUUGAUCUCGAUUGCAGUUUCCUUAAUUGUGCCUAGUAGUAGGCUCGUUUUUAGCGUUUGCGUGUGGUGCGUUUCAUUUCUACAUCUGAGUCUUUUCCCCUACCAUGGAAUCCACACCUAAGACCCUAGACAAAAGAUAUAAGAUUUUUGAACUAACUAUGGCCGAACAAGCAACAUGCUCUGUGCACAAUUCAGCGAUCGCCACCAGUUGGUGGUAGGGGGCCGGUCCACCCCGACCCAUCAACCAGUACUAGAGCGAACCUCCAAACUUUCAUCCUUUCACACCGCCAUGAACCUAGGAUCCUAUCAUCCAACGUUGAGUUCCUACAAUUUGAUGGUCGCCUUGAUCCUAAAGCUUUCAACCGUUGAAUUUCGUGAGAUGGACCACUUCUUUGAGUGGUCCAAUUUGUCCGAUGAUAGUAAAGUCCGGUUCGCUCAAAUGAAACUAAUAUCAGCAAAGCAAACUUUUUUGGCAAGUACUGAGGAGCGACGACAACCUCCUGUAACUGAUUGUGUGAGAUGAAAGAAAUCUUGAGAGAAAAAUAUAUUCCUCAUCCUAUCAAGGUGAUUGCUAGACAAGUGGAACAUCUCUUCGUCAAAGUCCAAACCAGUCUAUAUUGUUGCGUCAGUUUGAAGAAUAAUCUUAUGGUUGCGACUCAGAGAGGAUGAAAUAAUGACCCUAAGUCCGUUUCCGACAGGGUCUAAAUGACGACCUAGAAAAGAACUUGUUUUAACGGAAGUUGACACCUCUUGAACCAAGCUACACCUUUGUUCAAAACUAUGAGAUGGUCAUCAAACCUAACUUUUGGACGUCGUUCGAGAGUCGAAACACACCUAGGCCUCCUGCUACCUUACCACCGUCUAGGCCAGUACCCAAGACGGGCACCUCGGCGCAAAGACGUAAAGAAAGGGGGCAGUGUGACGGGAAGGCCCGGGAUAAGCCACGGGUCAGGCCGAGAAGGGCCAAGAUGGGGCAGACAAAAGCCGCCAAUUGUGGCAACCACCGAACUCUCUUUGUCAAACUCACAGGUAGAACUCAUGAAGGGAAGAUCUUGAAGAGUACACUUUAUUAUCCCUACUUGGAAAUCUCUUGCCGGUCUGACGAAGGAUUUGUGAGAGCGAGACGUCACCACCCUAGGCGUUGUUAGUUGUGCUUUGACAACAGGCUCAAGAAGACACGAUUGGAAGGCGUAAUGCGAUCUUUUACACUUAUAUCAAUGUGGGAGAAAGGAUUGCAGGUCAUUAUAGAUGCGGAGUUGUAAUCAAGCUGUUUCUUCUUUCAUCCACUGUCGCCCGCCUGGGUUAAAACCAAAACCAUUCCCCAUCCUAUCCGUUACCAUUCUCUUUGGGUUGACACAAUCGUCCAAUUUCCAUAAAGCAAGAUGUCUUGUCCCAAUUCCGAUCCUUCCUAGAAGUGACAAUUGGUGCGCUGGGAUUCCCUAUGGAUUUGGACACAUAAUUUUGGGUCGUCCCUGGCUCUUUGACAUGAUGUCACUAUUUAGGACGCUCAAAUUCUUGUUCUUGUCCUUGUUGACAACAAGCGAACUCAACAGCUAACCCCGGCUUCAAUCAACCAAAGCCUGCUUCACAACAAAAGAAAGAAAAAAAUCCAACCAUGGCAAAGACUUGAAAUUAUCAGUCAAAGAGCGAAAAGAGAGAUCAACGUCAAUCCAUUUUAAUUUGUUUUGCAGUAGUGGUGCAUGAUGCUUUCCAUAGAGAGUCAAGGAUACGCCUCCUAAGGAAGUAACUUAUAUCCUCCUGCAAAAUUCCAUGAGGUUUUUCCGUGAUUCUUCCUACACUUUACGUCGGGGGAUGCGUACAUUCAACACUCCAUUUGAUCAGGUUCGGGAGCUACUCUCUCCCCAACUUACCCUCAUUAUAGGAUGAACCCUAGUGAACAUGCUGAGUUGCAGCGCCAAUUGGUGAUCUCCCUGCAAAAGGUUCCUUAGGGGAGAGUACGAGUCCGUGUGCCGUGCCGCGACUUCUAACCCCUAAAAAGACAGUUCUUGGAGAAUGUGCGUGGUAAUCGCGCACUUAAUAAAAUCACUAUCAAAUACCCGUUUUCCUAUCCUAAAAUGAUGAUAUGUUUGACAUGAUGUUUGGACCACUGUUUUUUUUUUCCAAAAUUGACCUGAAAGUGGUACACAAAUUCGAAUCCUUCCUGAGGAUGAUGGAAAACUGUCCUCAAGACAAAGGAUGGUUGUUACGAAUGGUUUAGUCAUGGCCCGUUCGUCCCUUUCUAUGCUCAAGUACUUUCAUGCUUGUGAUGACUCAAGUACUCAGGCUCAGGCCUUUUAUUGGCAGAUUUUUGGUAGUGUACUUUUUUGAUGACAUCCUCAUUUAUAGUAAAUCGAAGUAGCACCAUUUGGACCAUCUUGCUCAAGGUUUGCGCUAACACUUCAAAAAGAAAAACUUUACGCGAAUCUAAAAAAAUGUUCAUUUUUCACUGACAGUGUUGUAUCUUCUUAGAUUCGUUGUUGUCCGUCCAAGGGGUUUCUUUCUCUUUUCUGCUGACCCCUUUCCAAAAUUCAGGCAAUCGUCGAUGGCCCGAGCCCAAGUCUAUUCAUGAACGUUCGUAGCUUCAUGGUCUUGCUACGUUUUAUCGUCGAUUCAUUCGAGGAGUUUAGCACCAUCAUGUCUCCCAUUACGAUUGCCUAAAGAAAGGUUAAUUUAAUGGACAAAUGCCCACAAAAAAAUGCAGCGACCAACAGCAUUUGGGGGAUAAAAAAAGAAAAUGACAGGAAGCACCUGUUAUGCGCCCCCAGAUUUUUCGAGAGUCUUUGAAGUAGAGUGUGAUGCUUCUGGUAUUCGUAUAGUGGGGUAUUGAGUCAAGGCGACACCCGUUGCUUACUUUAGUGAGAAAUUAAAUGAUGCAACGAUACUCCACUUAUGAUAAAGAGUUAUGGCGGUGUGUUCAAAGCAUUGCGCUUUUUGGAGACAUUAUUUACUUCCGCAUGAAUUUGUCCUGUAUUCGGAGCGAUUAGGUCAUUACGUUAAUCUCACCUCCCAAAGAAGUUAAUUCUCGCCAUGGUCCCGUCUGGCUUGAGUUCCUUAAGAUUACACGUUGUGCAAAAACACUUGUCUGGAGUUGAGAAUAAAGCCGCUGAUGGCCUUAGUCGUCGUGCAUUUCUCCUUUCGCUCUUAAUCAAGGGUUUUGGAUUUUGAAACGCUUAAGGAUGAUUUAGAAUCAUGUCGAUAUUUUCGCGACUCUUAUGUAGCCCUGAGCUCUAAUCCUUCCAUCUCUCUGGAUGAUUAUAUCAUUCGCGAAGGAUUCUUCUUUCGCGCAAAUAACCAAGCUAUGUAUCCCAGUCGCACUUCUAGAGAAUUUCUAGUAUGGGAGAUUCAUGCUGGUGGCCUUGCUGGGCAUUUUGGGCGUGAUAAAACCAUUGAAGGAAGUCGGACGUCAAUUUUAUUUGGCCCUACUCCUCUCAAAGCGAGACGUGGCCAAACUUGUUUCUCAAUGUCGCACAGUCAAGUGGCCAACAUCCGUAGCAAACACUGGUCUUUAUAACCACUUCCUUGGGGCGCCGAUUGGCCUUGGCAAGAUGUUAGUGCAGGACUUCGUGUUUUGGGUCUUCCUCGUACAUUCGGAAUACGACUCUAUUUUUUUUGUAGUUGUAUACCGUUUUCUAAAAUGGCCCAUUUUAUCCCCAUGCACUAAGACUUCGGAUGCUUCUCAGUUGCAAAACUUUACUUUAGUGAGAUUGUCAAGUUGUAUGGUCUUCCUAAGUCUAAAUAAAAAUCGUUUCUGAUAGGGAUGUUUCCGUUUCAUCACAUGAGUUACUUUUGGAAAACCCUUUGGCACAUGGUAGGCACCAACUUAAAUUCGCCACAUCCUACACCCGUAAACUGAUGGCCAAACUGAGGUCGUCAAUUCGAAGUCUUGGGAAUCUCCUUCGGUGGUUUUGGUUGGUGAUACAUAGAAAUUGGGACUCCAUUCUUCCUAUGGCUCAGUUUACUUAUAAUAGCUCUGUCAAUAGGUCGGAUUGGUAUGAAUCCUGGGGUUGAAGUUGUUUCAACGGUUUAAACCUAGGAACCAGUAGAUUUGUUGCCUAUGUAUGUCGCCACAUACCUAGGGUGUCAUAGUCAGCCGAGUCUUUUGCUGCCAUUAGAGAAUUGCAUGAUGAUAUCAAAAAGUUAUUAAUGAUAGUAAUUUUUCAAUAUAAAUUUCCAAAGCGAAUUCACGCGACGUCGUGUCGUAGUUUCCACGUAGGAGACUAUGGUUAUGGUUCGUAUUCGCCCCGAGCGGUAUCCUUCGGUACCGCAAGGAAUUGUGUGCCCGUAUUGCUGGAAACCGUUUCAAAGUUUUUGAAACGCAUUGGGCCAAUGCAUAUGUUAUUGGUGACCUUCCCCCGAUUUCUGGUAUAACUCUACUUUUAAGAUUGAGGACUUGAUUGCUUUUAAAGGUCAAUUUUGAUGUUCCUCCGAUCCAUUUCCUGAGCCUACCCAUAAACCUACAAUUGAUAACCUAACCCUACUCUAACCCCAUAUUACACCAGCACCAUUGCCUAAUUCCCCCUGGCACUAAAGAACAUAUUGAUGCUAUUUUAAGAUGAGCAACUUAUUUCUACCACAGGGAUGGUGGUGUUCAGCGCUUUUUUUUGUUCGUUGGAAGUGGCCGUCCUGCUUCUGACGACAACUUGGGAUUACCACGAGGAGUUGCAGCAGAUUGACCUAGACCUCUGUGAGUAUAUCAUAGUCGUCAGCGAUACACUCGCUGGAGUCGAGUUUUUCUUCCACCCUGGGAGAGGUGGUGGGGACAACCGAUCCAGACCUCCUAUUAACCCGUGUUUAUGGGGCCGCAGAUCCAAGAAGGCGUACCCAGUUUCAAUUAUGGCUAGAUAGUGGACUGCUCACUGGACCUGCUCAUAGCCCUUGGGCUAAUUUAUUUAUUAGUACUCUAACGGGAACUAUUUUUAUUUGGGUUAUUUGUUUUUGAACUUAUUUAUUUAGAUUUUAGGUAUUGGUUUUGGGCCUAUUGUAAUUUGGGCCCAAUUAUUUUCACUUGUUUUUAGGUUAGGGUUGUCUAUUAAAUGAGAUUUUGUUAUGAAAAAAGAGACUGAUGAUUUUGAUAAAAGAAAGACGCUGUUUUUCUUCUCCAACCUUCGCAUUCUGGCGGAAGCCCCGAACCUUCCCCCUGCCCUUUCUUCCUUGAUUCCGCGGAAGCCAAACUUCCCC
rnacentral:lncRNA from 1 species